CUUCUUCGAUCUGCUGCGGGCAGAUGAAAUGGAUGUGGCUGUCGAUGCCGCCGGCCGUGACGAUCAUGCCUUCGCCGGCGAUGACCUCGGUGCCGGGGCCGACGAUGAUGCUGUUUUUGCCACUGAGGCCGGGCUGGAUGUCCGGGUUGCCGGCCUUGCCGAUGGCGGCGAUGCGGCCGUCCUUCAGGCCGAUGUCGGCCUUGACGAUGCCGGUGACGGCGUCGACGAUCAGCGCGUUGGUAAUGACCGUAUCGGCAGUUUCGGCGGAGACGCGCUGGCUUUGCCCCAUGCCGUCGCGGAUG
rnacentral:sRNA from 1 species